GCUGGAUGAUGAUGCCAGCGAUCUGAUCUCAGCCAAAGCUCGAUACCAUCAGACCGCCUGUGCCCCUCCACACCUCCACACCUACAGAGAGAUCCACACGCGGCCCUGCGGACGCCACGACAAUUAAAUUACCUUCAUGAGAUACUGGAGACCAGAAUAUCACAGGGACUUGAGGAGGGACUCUCCACCCAGAACACCCUAGCAACCGCACAGCAACAAUCAAAUGCAACAUUUUAGGAACGAAAUAGCAACGCAACUAGAACACACCAACACUGCAACACUGGUUCCUUUCAGCGGGCUUACGGAUGAGCUCAACGCCACUAUAGAAACCAUCGGCACCCCCUCACCACCUGCCCUCCAUUACUGUCCGUCUUCAAACAUAUGUUUUCACAUGCAGCCCUGCGACACACAAUAACCCCAGCACACGGGGGCUCAGGGGUGAGGGUAUCUAUCUCUAAUGAGCCCAGUGUCUUGUUAAGGGGGCAGCUCUGGGUUUGUGGAAGAAGGCCAACAGGAAACAGACUAAUGCUGCUGGGCUAAAUGGAAAUCCCUCGAGUCGGAGGGUACAAAGACUCCUCUUCGGGUGCCUUUGCGCUUUUGUUUGGGUUUGUUUACCCUGUCUGCCGGCCGGGAGUGUUGGUGGUCUGCCCUGUCACGGCCCCCCGGGGACAGUUCUACACUCGCACACACGGCUCAGAGGGAUCUAUUGUGAUAAAUGAGAGGGCACACACUCACCGGCUGAGGUGAGAGGCGCUGUGCACAAACAUCCGCAGGUAUUUGGGUUCGGUUCUGAAUGCCAUUUGAAGAGGAGAGUGAUGUGUGUUCAUGACAAGCGAUGGAGUGUGUGUGUUUGCAAUAAUGUACAAUUUUACACUAAGUCUAACCUUACGGUUUAUUUUACCUUAUUGUUACAAAUCUCUGUGCAUUUCUUUCUUUUGAAGAACACAAACAAAAACAUUUUGAAGAACAUUGGAGCCCAAACAACUUUGCAAUCAUGUACAGUUUUAGCCAUUUACUGAUCAUCAUCCCUUCUGUCAAAACUUAAGUCUAACCUUACUUAACCCUCUGGUGCUAUUUGGUAAUUUUUUUUGUCUGAAAAAUUUUACAUUUUUGGGGGGAAUUUUU